rnacentral:ncRNA from 1 species
CACUCUUUCCGCGGGAGCUUGAUGUGAAAGGAUGCUGAGAGUAAUCAAAGUCUGUUUGGAUGUGGCUUUGUGUCGACCGUUUGAACCUGCUCAUGGUAAUGCAUGCGAUAGGGAAGGUGAGAUGUGUCAUGG